AUUGAACGCUGGCGGCAGGCCUAACACAUGCAAGUCGAACGGUAACAGGAAGAAGCUUGCUUCUUUGCUGACGAGUGGCGGACGGGUGAGUAAUGUCUGGGAAACUGCCUGAUGGAGGGGGAUAACUACUGGAAACGGUAGCUAAUACCGCAUAACGUCGCAAGACCAAAGAGGGGGACCUUCGGGCCUCUUGCCAUCGGAUGUGCCCAGAUGGGAUUAGCUAGUAGGUGGGGUAACGGCUCACCUAGGCGACGAUCCCUAGCUGGUCUGAGAGGAUGACCAGCAACACUGGAACUGAGACACGGUCCAGACUCCUACGGGAGGCAGCAGUGGGGAAUAUUGCACAAUGGGCGCAAGCCUGAUGCAGCCAUGCCGCGUGUAUGAAGAAGGCCUUCGGGUUGUAAAGUACUUUCAGCGGGGAGGAAGGGAGUAAAGUUAAUACCUUUGCUCAUUGACGUUACCCGCAGAAGAAGCACCGGCUAACUCCGUG
rnacentral:rRNA from 1 species